UUUUUACAAGUAUUAAUACAUAGAAUUCAAUAAGGUGCAUAGCAGUAUAUCACCAUUGCAAAUUAGGAACCAGGAUAUCAGCAAAACGGUAAAAGAGAAAGCUUUGCUACUCAUUGCAUAAAUUUCAACUAGCAAUGACAUACAGAUAAGAACAUCUUGGUGAAAUUGGGAAUAAGCCUGAGUCACCUCCAUGGUCAACAGAGUUGUAUAUAUAUAAAAAAAUGCAUGGAAAGGGUAAGAGAAAUAAUCCCACUUUCAUCCCAUUAUACCUCUCUCUCCCCCAAGAAGGCACAGCACCACAGAGAGAAUUUCCUAGGAUCAUGAUUACUAUGGAGGAAAAAGAGAACUGGAAGUGGAAAUCCAGACUCUAUCAUUCUGAGAUGCUUCCCAGGAAGCCCACUUGAGUCUCAUCUGAAGAGAAACACAGUGAGGAACGGCACAGAUAGGCCACCUGGGGUCGAGUAGAAACAAACUGAGAAGGUAGAGCCUGCAGCAACAACCACUAUGAAGAUCUUGGUGGUGACUAUCCGGUGUGCCCCUCCAAAAGAGAAGGCACAGGGGCGAAGUGUCCCUCUGACGAGGUACAAAUCCAUAGUGAGUCCUGACGGGCUGUGGCCAAGCACAUCUCUCCACAGAACACAAAGAGAACCGGGACUGCACAUUUGAAGACAUCUGCUCUCUGUCCCAUUAUUUCAGCCUAUAACAAAUUAGUCCCACUUUUUUUUUUUUAAACUGAAUCUUGCUCUUUUGCCCAGGCUGGAGUGCAGUGGUGUGAUCUCAGUUCAUUGCAACCUCCAUCACCCAGGUUCAAGCUAUUCUUGGGCUUCAGCCUCCCGAGUAGCUGGGAUUAAGGGUGUGCACCACCACACCUGGCUAAUUUUUGUAUUUUUAGUAGAUAUGGGGUUUCAUCAUUUUGGCCAGCCUGUUCUCGAACUCCUGACCUCAAGUGAUCCACCCGCCUUGGCCUCCCAAAGUUCUGGGAUUAGAGGCGUGAGCCAUCAAGCCUGGACAGUUCCACUUUCAUCUCAGGUGUAGAAUACAGCUCUGCCCAACCUUACGAUAAAAUCUUCCCUUGUUCACUACCUGUUUCAUCAAUAAGAAAUAAAGCUAAUAUACUCAAACUAUGAGGGAUUCUCUAAUUUUUCAACAAAAUUCAGUGCAUGAAAAUCUACAUAUAAUGUGUAUGCACUCCUCCCAGUCUUCUAGACUAUAUAUCUCGGGGUGGACUAAAUAACCACUAAUCUCUUUCUUUCUGGUGUCCUGUGGCCUGGACAGGACAUUUCCAGCAAGAUGCGAGAGAGGCAGUACUCCUAAAUUUUCAGGUGGCUGCCUGUUCUUUGAGUGGCUUAGAACUGAGGUUUCCAAGCUGUGAUAAAAUACAUGACAUAGUCCUAUGUUUUCCUGCUUUAUUCCCACAAUGUUGCUAUUAUAUUUCAGAGUAUGAGAAAUAUAGGCCACUGGUUAUUAUUUUGGUUUUUAAAAUCUUGUCUGUAUUGCAGUUAGGAAAAAAAGAUCCUCCCCAACUCUGGAAAAUCCUGACUUCUUAUCCUCAUUUUCCAUAGCAGUUGUGGUUGUGUGCUCCUUGAGACUGCUGUGUGGGGGUGGUGGAGGCCCAGUACCAAUAGGGUCUUCACUGACAUGGAGUUGGGGUCUGGGGUCAACAAGGAUGGACUGGGGGCCUCUUUUGGGGAAGUUCAGGCUCCUGAAUCAGUCUUUAGUGAUGUUACCCCAUAAAGUCAAGUUAGUGAAAAUGAAGGUGUAAUGUUUUUGUGACCAGGUUGGUGAACCAGCUAGGUUCUCUUGACAUGGCCCCUUGGGUUGAGAAGCCCUCUCUCACUGCAUGAUGUGGGGACAUGGGAAGAUUGGGGGUCAGAUCAGGAAAAGCCCAGCCAGAAACACCAAUCCCCUUAGCAAUGCCCUACCAGGAGGUCUUGGAUUUGAAAUACCAGUUCUUUUUCUGGGAAAUAACAAGAACUGUAACUUUGGCAGACACACCCCAGGAUGUGAUUCCAGGAAGAAACACACCCUAAAGAGAAAAUUUUGCUGCAUGCCUGUUAUUGUAGGGUAUAAAGAAGGAUUCGGUGUUGGUGGUCCUUGUCAUUCUUAUCUUUUCAUCCUCUACACUAAUCUCUCUUCCCCUUUUCCUUCUUAACCCUCAGCUUCCAGGGACUGGGUUCCUGGUUCGAUUCCCAGGCUUGUGAUUGCGAACACCUCUUCCUGCCUCUUCCCCUCUCCUGCUCUUGUCUUUCCCCUGCUGGUUUCUCUUUCCCUUUCUCUUUUUCUCUGCAGCUCUCUUGUCCUGUCCCAUACCCUUUCUAUUUUUAAUGUUUCCUCAGGGCACAUUUCAAAGGUUGCCCUCUUUAUGUGAACAUAAAUAUCAGAGACUUUUAUAAUUACAGUAUAGGAACAGCAGUGUCUAUUGAUCAUUAUAUCAUUCCUCUUCUCUCUUGGGUAAACUUGAGCAAGGAGAAAAUCCUGGAAGGAAAUUGGCUUUUCCUUUUCUAAUGUAGAUAAGAAGUGAAAAAGAAGGCACAGAAUUCAAAGAUUCGGGAAACGGUUCUAAUAUACUUAUUUAGUCACUUCAAAAAUAAAACUUAAAGUGCUAUUAGAAGGAUACAUGUCAAAAUUAAUUCAAAUUGCAAUCACAUAUAAGCUACUGCAUCUCUGUUUAUAUUAAUGCUUUAGAGAACUUGGUUAAGUAUUGAUGUUUAUUCACUGACAUUAACAUGCCAUUUUGUAUUAAGAGACAUUUCCUUAUCUUUUUGCACUUACUCAAAUCAUAAUUUCAUUAAAAGAUAAGUAUCUGUGUUGAAAAAUUAUAACAUUAGCUACAAUGAUUUUUUAAAAAAGGUAAUAUAGUUCCCUGAUAACAUCAGGUUUAUAUUGUAAGGAUUCAAUGGCAACACUGAAUAAGAAUCAAGAUAUAUGUUGUUAUGUUGACUGAAAGAUUAACCCAGAAGCCUAUUCCUGAUUUACACAAACCCUAAAGUGACCAAAUUCCGUUUUGAUUAUUAUAUGCUUUUAAAUCCAACUGCCUUUUACCUAUAAAUUUUAUAAAUUCAAAUUAUCAAACAUUUUCUUAUGUAAUAUUAGAAAGAAUAAUAUUUACGUAAAAAACACAUUUCAUGGAUUUUUAAUCUUUUUUUGUUGUUGUCGUUGUUUUGUUUUGUUUUGUUUGAGACGGCGCCACGCUCUGUUGCCCAGGCUGGAGUGCAGUGGCGCGAUCUCCGC
rnacentral:lncRNA from 1 species